rnacentral:lncRNA from 10 species
GGGGGCUGAAAUGAACUCUGUGAGGAUUCUUAGCUUUGGUGGUUUAAUGCUCUAUUUUUGUGCUUGUUGGCCUCCUGCCAGGUGGCGGCGCUUUCCGGAGAGCAUCAGCUGUGGUAACAUGGAGAGAAACCAGAGAGUGGGUGGGGCUUUAGAACUUCCAAGACAGAGGCUCUGGAAGCCUCUGUCUUCAGCUACCAGAGUGGGUAGGGAAGGACCAUCAAGUGGGGGCAGGGCUAGGUGUGUCUGAGCUCAGACUCUCCUUGGGUGAGUCUUGCUGUGGCUGCUGUGGGGGAGGGGGGGGUGAGGUUCCCAGGUGAAUAGAGUUGUGUACCUAGGAGGAUAAUGGCUGCCUCUGCUGAGUCAUGCAGGUUGUUAGGGAAGUGAGGGAAAGCUGGCAGUCACAGGCCUCACCCAGCUCCCAUGCAAUCCAAAUGGCCAGUCUCACUCUCACCAUGCCCCCUCUAAAGCAUUGAGUCUGUUUCCAAGCAGUGGGUAAGCAGGGGUGAGAACUUGCCGCAGGCUACCCACCUCCCAGCUGUGAAAGAAAAGGGCUUUCGUUCUUCCCCCACCUGUGGAGUCUACACGCUGGAUUUGUGCCCUCCCUUGAGUUCUGGCCAGGAGGCUUCUCCACCUGUUCAAAUUGUUAUAAAGUUCAGCUGGAGACUUCCUUCUCUCCGUGGCAUUUUCCUCAUGCCUCUGGCCACCCUCCCAAAGGAUCCCUGUGAGGCCAGGCAGGAAUGGCCUGCUUGGGGACCCAGCAAGCUUCUAGGGCCUUUGCUGCUGCUUCCUCUACCCCUGUAUUUCGCUCGGCUCUCUAAAUGGACUCAGCUCCAGAUGAGGAAACGGAGAUUCACAAAAAUCAGGUCAUUUGUCUGAGGUCCGAGUACUGUGUGAUAGAGCAAAGAUUUGAACCCAGCUGGAAAAAUCUGAAAUCCUCUGUUAGUAAGGUUAGAAUGAGCGGACACCCUGAACUGUGAAGAGCAUAUUGGACUGGAUGUCCAGGGACCUGGGCUCUAUUUCUCACGCUGACAUGUGAUCCUAGACCCAUCACUUUCAUCUUCUAACUCUCUACUUACAGGUAAAUUGUCUUGUGAUUAUUUCCACAGAACUCUGACUUGGAUAAGACUUGUAUCCAUUUUAUUACGAUGUUCUUCUUUUUUACAAUUUAGUUCCCCAGAGGGCAAGACCAAGCUACCUAAGAUCGGAACCCUCUGAUAAUUUGUGCUGCUAUUUUAAGAUCCAGUUCCAUUCUACAACUGGCUGAAGCAUGAAGUCAACUAAAAUAAACUGAAUUGAGUGGAACUGAACUGAACUGAAGUGAAAUAAUGUGAUUUCCAGUAAACCUGACACCUUAAGGACAGAACAUGAGCCUUGCCCAUCUUCCUCCCAGAGGUCCCAGCACAAUCACCGACUCACACAAUACUCUCAGUGCAUGAGUGAUGAAUUUCACUAACAGCGACCCAUCUCUCUACAUAAUCCACUCCGGUUUCACCAGAGCUGAGAGUAUCAUGAAUUACAUCUAUAGAUAGCUGUAAGCUAAUGACCAAAGCACAUAACUGAAUUCAAACAUAUUCUUUAUUGCAGUCAGAUGUGAGAAAACAAAAUUUAGAAGACAAGCCAGAAAGGAAAUGAAGAACAUAAAGAGCCUGAAUUCUCAUCGUCAAUUUUUCCCUGACUGACUCCGUUUUCCUCUCUUCUUUCCAUUUACCUUUCUGUUCCCAUCCCCAUCAUUUUUGUAGUGUUUAUUGAGUGUCUGCUGCAUGCCAGUCAAUGUGCUGAGUACUUUUCAUGUGUUAUACCAUUUGAUCGUCACAGCAGCACACUAUUAUAAUUAUGAAUAUGAUUCCACAUACUAUAUCUAAAAUUUAACUUAAUUUUACAUAGGAGGAAGCUGAGACUUGCCCAAGACUACUCCAUUAGUAAGAUGUGAACCAAGUGAACCAUGUCUGACUCAAACCUAACCCCUGAUUCUCUGAAUCCAUAUCACCGUAGAACUCAACAGUGAAAUAUUGGGGUAGAGAUGGAUGUACCUGCUUCUUGAGCUGAAUUCUCACCAAUCCCUCAUUUCUGGUCAUUCUUAACCUUACUCCCAGAUGUGUUUGGUCUACUGCAGCCUUCGGAUCCCUACUAGAGUUUGCCUUAGGAAUCAGCUUUCUCAGACCUGUGUCUGAGAUAAAAUGUCUGGGAUAAAAUGUCAUUUAUCCUGCUUCCUGGAUUCUGAAAUUUGAUGAUUCUGUUCUCCUCUUUCAUCUCUUCUUUCUUAAACCCUUUUUUUUAAAAAAAAAUCCUGUAACUGUCAUUUACUGGAACUUCAGAGAGAAGCAGAGGUUAAUACCUAUGUUCAAUGGAUACAGGAGAUAAAAAGAAAUUAUUUAGGCAGUUAAUGAGGGUAAGAGAGUUCUUGGCAAGGCUUCCCUUUUAACACAAGCAACCCGCCAAAUCAUUUCUUUUCUAACAAAGAGCAGCCGGUAAAAUCAAGCCACAGACACAGAUAAGCAAGCUAGAAGCUUUCACAGGUAAAUGUGGCAACUGUGCCAAUAGAAACACACUACCUAAGGGCCAGGUAUGUUCAACAUGGAGGUUCCCUCUUCCCUUUUGUGGCUACAUAAGUGGUAAAAAAGCAUGGAGCCAGCCAGGUAGAGGCCUCAUCUGCAUAAUAAAAGAUUAGGGUGAGAUGUCCAGCUUCUUCACGCCCUAUGCAAACAGCACACCUGGUCUGACUAAUCUCUUGAUCCCUAUGUAAAUGAGACACCGCCUCCUCAAGCUCCUCUAUGAAAUCCCUUGCAUUUCAGUAGGAAACCAGAAGACCCACUUGGGAGCCCCAUGCUCUCUCUGCAGGAAAGAGAGCUUUUCUUGUCUCUUUUCUCUCGCCUAUUAAACCUCAGCUCUUCAACUCACUUCUUGUGUGUCUGUGUCCUUGAUUUCCUUAGUGUGAGACAACGAACCUCAGAUAUUUACCACAGACAACGUAGCCACUUCACAAUCUUGCAAAUUUUCACCAAGUCCUUUUCAUUAUUAUGUAAGGAGUUGGAACUGACUGAUGAGGGUUUGAUUGUGAUUGCCUCUAGCUCUCCCUGAUAGCAUUUGGAUGAGCUGGACAGAUGUAGGAUUAACAAAGGUCUGUAGGGUGGAGCAAAUAUGUCUCAUUACCAAGGGUAAAAUUUCAAGUGAAGAGGCUCCCAUACUAGAGCAACCACAACAAAACAAAUAACCAUGGAUUUGGGACUGAACACUAGGAAAGAGUGAAUAUAUGUUUUUGAGGUCAGCUGUGCUGAAGGCAAGAGAAGAACAUUGCCAAGUAACUUCCAAAUGUGACAUUUUUCAACCUUGGUUUAUGACUGAAAAGCCAAGAAAGACUAAGCUAAAAUGGAAUUCAGCUUCCCAGCCUAAAUAGUGGGAGAGGUCCAAAAUACAGCUAAGGAAAAUUUUACUGGGAAAGCUAGUUGUAUCCAUUUACUCUGUUCUACACAUAUCAAUUAGAAAUUUUAAAAAGGUAAGUUUGAUCAAGCUUUUAUUCCGACAUUUGAAAA